UGUUGUUUCAGGGUUGGCAUCAUCUGAGACAAAUUGAGACAUAAUUAGCUUUGCUGCUGUUCCAACCAAGCAAAAUUGAUUUGUUUAACCCAAGCUAAAGAAUAAUAAUGUGCAUGUGAUCAGAUAUACCUGCAGUACAAGAUUAUGAGAUGCAUUAUUUAUUAACUUAGAAUUUCCACUUCAAGCUGACUUUAAAUAAACACAGUGCCUGUAACUUCUGCAAGUCAUGCUAAAAUAGUGCAGCAUUGUUGAAAAUUUGCCCUUAAGUGUCUGUUUAGCCCCCCCUUCCCCCUUUAACAAAAUUCACUUCUAAUGCCAUUUCUGCCUGCAAAACUUGUUUACAAAAGCGACUAAAAGGUGCAGUCAGGGUUCUCACAAUCUUGGAAAACCUGGAAGGAUGAGGAUGUUUUAAAAGUGUGAUUUUCUGUCAGAAUAAUAAAAGCUCAUUACUAUAGUUAGGACAUAUUUUUUUCUAGUUUAUAACUAUACUAUACUAAAGUAUCUAUAUUAAGUAAGGGAUAAUGUACAUCCAGCCGGUUGUUCUCACAGAAUAAACCCUGACAGGGUGAUCAGGACCUUGCAUCAGCCUGAAGGGGUUUAUUCUAUGAUAACAACCGGCUGGAUGUACAUUAUCCCGCUUAUUACACGGCUACUUGCCACAUAAGUAAAUAAUUAGAUGCAAAAUAUUGAUUUGAGUUGAAAUUUGAGACACUGUUUCGUUGUGAAAGUGAAAAUACUUUACAGUUUAACCCAAAUAUUUAGUGUGCAGCACAUUUUAUGGAGGACUGUUUCCUGAUCCUGGGAGAGAAGACUACAAUGCUCACAGACUCUUCUCUGUCAAAGCUUGUCCCACACAGCACUGGAUGAGAUUAACAAUGUAGCAGAUUCUCUUGGAAGGAAACCGGUAUGAAGUCCCCAAGGUAAAUGUUAUCUCUGGGCCCAAAUUUCUCAGCUAAAAAUUAUAAGAAGUUGUAAGAAUAAGUUGUUCACUCUAUCAGUUCACUUUUAAAAACAAGCUCCUGAGUCACUGGCAGAGCUGUUAUUUUGAGGAACUUUGACCAGCGUGUGAGACUCUGCUAUAAAGCAACAUGUGAUUCUUGUGUGUUGUUUUUUUUUUUUUUUUCCUCU
ensembl:lncRNA